rnacentral:rRNA from 1 species
AGUGAACGCUGGCGGUAGGCCUAACACAUGCAAGUCGAACGGCAGCACAGUAAGAGCUUGCUCUUACGGGUGGCGAGUGGCGGACGGGUGAGGAAUACAUCGGAAUCUACUUUUUCGUGGGGGAUAACGUAGGGAAACUUACGCUAAUACCGCAUACGACCUACGGGUGAAAGCAGGGGAUCUUCGGACCUCGCGCGAUUGAAUGAGCCGAUGUCGGAUUAGCUAGUUGGCGGGGUAAAGGCCCACCAAGGCGACGAUCCGUAGCUGGUCUGAGAGGAUGAUCAGCCACACUGGAACUGGGACACGGUCCAGACUCCUACGGGAGGCAGCAGUGGGGAAUAUUGGACAGAGGGCGCAAGCCUGAUCCAGCCAUACCGCGUGUGUGAAGAAGGCCUUCGGGUUGUAAAGCCCUUUUGUUGGGAAAGAAAAGCAGCAGGUUAAUACGACGCUGUUCUGACGGUACCCAAUGAAUAAGCACCGGCUAACUUCGUG